GCAUAUCAAUAAGCGGAGGAAAAGAAACCAACAGGGAUUGCCUCAGUAACGGCGAGUGAAGCGGCAAAAGCUCAAAUUUGAAAUCUAGCACUUUCAGUGUUCGAGUUGUAAUUUGAAGAAGGUAACUUUGGUUUUGGCUCUUGUCUAUGUUCCUUGGAACAGGACGUCACAGAGGGUGAGAAUCCCGUGCGAUGAGAUGCCCAAUUCCAUGUAAAGUGCUUUCGAAGAGUCGAGUUGUUUGGGAAUGCAGCUCUAAGUGGGUGGUAAAUUCCAUCUAAAGCUAAAUAUUGGCGAGAGACCGAUAGCGAACAAGUACAGUGAUGGAAAGAUGAAAAGAACUUUGAAAAGAGAGUGAAAAAGUACGUGAAAUUGUUGAAAGGGAAGGGCUUGAGAUCAGACUUGGUAUUUUGCGUUCCCUUCCUUUUUGGUUGGGUUCCUCGCAGUUUACUGGGCCAGCAUCGGUUUGGAUGGUAGGAUAAUGACAUUGGAAUGUAGCUUUACUUCGGUGAAGUGUUAUAGACUUUGUUGAUACUGCCUAUCUAGACCGAGGACUGCGUCUUUGACUAGGAUGCUGGCGU
rnacentral:rRNA from 1 species